AGAGUUUGAUCAUGGCUCAGAUUGAACGCUGGCGGCAUGCUUUACACAUGCAAGUCGAACGGUAACAGGGAGCUUGCUCCGCUGACGAGUGGCGAACGGGUGAGUAAUGCAUCGGAACGUACCCAGUCGUGGGGGAUAACGUAGCGAAAGUUACGCUAAUACCGCAUACGUCCUGAGGGAGAAAGCGGGGGACCGAAAGGCCUCGCGCGAUUGGAGCGGCCGAUGUCGGAUUAGCUAGUUGGUAGGGUAAAGGCCUACCAAGGCGACGAUCCGUAGCGGGUCUGAGAGGAUGAUCCGCCACACUGGGACUGAGACACGGCCCAGACUCCUACGGGAGGCAGCAGUGGGGAAUUUUGGACAAUGGGCGCAAGCCUGAUCCAGCCAUGCCGCGUGAGUGAAGAAGGCCUUCGGGUUGUAAAGCUCUUUCAGGUGGAAAGAAAACGCAUGGGUCAAUACCCUGUGUGGAUGACGGUACCAUCAGAAGAAGCACCGGCUAACUACGUGCCAGCAGCCGCGGUAAUACGUAGGGUGCGAGCGUUAAUCGGAAUUACUGGGCGUAAAGCGUGCGCAGGCGGUGAUGUAAGACAGAUGUGAAAUCCCCGGGCUCAACCUGGGAACUGCGUUUGUGACUGCAUCACUCGAGUACGGCAGAGGGAGGUGGAAUUCCGCGUGUAGCAGUGAAAUGCGUAGAUAUGCGGAGGAACACCGAUGGCGAAGGCAGCCUCCUGGGCCAGUACUGACGCUCAUGCACGAAAGCGUGGGGAGCAAACAGGAUUAGAUACCCCGGUAGU
rnacentral:rRNA from 1 species